CCAAUAGCGUAUAUUAAAGUUGUUGCAGUUAAAAAGCUCGUAGUUGAACUUCGGGGUUCACCCAUUGGUCAGGCUUAAUUGUCUGUACUGGUGAGAUGAAUCUCUACCUUCUGAGGAACUUUCAUGCCAUUUAUUUGGUGUGAUGGGAAAUCAGGACUGUUACUUUGAAAAAAUUAGAGUGUUUAAAGCAGGCUAACGUCUGAAUACAUUAGCAUGGAAUAAUGAAAUAGGACGGAUUGAUUCUAUUUCGUUGGUUUCUAGGAUCACCGUAAUGAUUAAUAGGGAUAGUUGGGGCCAUUAGCAUUCAAUUGUCAGAGGUGAAAUUCUUGGAUUUAUUGAAGACUAACUACUGCGAAAGCAUUUGCCAAGGAUGUUUUCAUUAAUCAAGAACGAAAGUUAGGGGAUCGAAGACGAUCAGAUACCGUCGUAGUCUUAACCAUAAACUAUGCCGACUAGGGAUCGGACGAAGUUAAUUUUAUAAUGACGCGUUCGGCACCUUACG
rnacentral:rRNA from 1 species